rnacentral:lncRNA from 1 species
CCAAAAUACAUACAGUUCAUAAUUCAACCUUAAAUUUUGCUUUUGUUUGGUCUAGAGCUGCAAUUCCAUCUAUCAGGAACUACAGGAAUGGAAACUUGGUCCAUUGAGGCAGAAGGCAGCCCAACAACUCAUCUGCAAAAUAAAGGGUUGUGUACACACAGCUGGCAUGGUUCAAACCCACUGUUGAGUGAACACAUUUUCUUAGCCAAAUGUGUCUGCACAUGAAUGCUACCCUGUCACAAUGAAGGCUCCCAGGCUGGUAAUCUAGCCUGCUGGACAGGGCUUUUUACGGAAAGCAGGAGGAAGAAUAGAUAGGAAGCCUCCCUCUGCUGAUUAUGGAUCUCUCCAAAGACCUCUAGGCUUUGGGCAAAGGUUACUAAAGGAGAUUGUGGCACCUAAAAAGAAAAAAGGAGCUCAUCAGACUGCGAGGGCUCAACAGCGACCUUUCCCAAAGUCGGGAGAAGGGAAUGGAUCGCUCCUCCUGGGGCUUUUCUGUGCUGAGUCUCUGAUCCCGGAGCUUGGUACCAACAUUCUUUCAACUAAUCCCUUCAGGUAUAAAUAUCUUCCAUGCCAGCAGCCUGCAACCAAUCAUUUUCCAUCCACACCCAAACGGCUGCCAGGGUAUUAGGUAUUAAACCGUCAAGUUAACACAGGUCUUUGUAUUCUGAAGGAGAGACCUUUCACGAGGACCUUGAGCUUCAGUUACCAGUCUCCCACACAUUUACCCUGGAGCCCGUCACCCUGGACAGGGGCGGAGGCUGGGGUGAGAGUUGGAAGGAUUGUCUGUGAAGCUUCGGGCUGGGACAGUGCAAGUGCAGAAACACACUGGAGACAAACAAGGGGAGUCAGACUACUAUUCAAUGAUAGAGGAAGGAUAUUUUUACGGGGAAGAGUUAGUUACGUGUUUAUUUUUUAACGUUAUCUGAAACAAAAAGAUAAGGCCGUUUCUCAUAGCCAUGGACUCUGUCAAACCACAAUAGAUCAAGGGUCAGACCUCAAGGUUUAAACUGAGUGGGAUGUCAGGUCCAAGGAUUUGUUUAUGUUUUGUUUAGGUCUCAAACUUCAUCUUCAUCUGAUGCUGAGGAGAACAGGGCUGAAGAAGCAGCCUGUGACAACAG